AAUGGGAUGAAAGGCUGAAGAGCAGGGAGCUUCAUGACUUCCGGUCAUGGAUCGCAGAGUUACACCAUCUCGAGAACAUUCGCAUCCCUCGCUGCUAUAAAGCGAAUCUUUCGACAGAACCUACUGCGUACGAGCUCCACGUAUUUUGUGAUGCUUCGGAGUCAGCUUUCGGAGCAGUGGCGUAUGUCAGAAUGACAACUCUGAUUCCAAAGGGGGAGAAGGCAGCCACGUGCGCCUUCAUAAUGGCAAAGACAAGAUUAGCACCCCUAAAGCAGCUUUCUAUUGCACGGUUAGAACUUCAAGCGGCAGUGCUGGCCUGCAGGCUAGCCGCGUCCGUCAAGCGAUCUAUGACGUACAAAUUCGAUCGCUCCUUUUACUGGACUGACAGCAAAAUUGUGCUUGCAUAUAUACAACAUGAGAGCCGUCGCUUUCAUACCUUUACAGCAAACCGUGUUUCAGAAAUUCAUGAUCUAUCAGACUGUAGUGACUGGUACCAUGUUCCUGGACACCUAAAUCCAGCUGACGCCUGCUCACGUGGUGCCUCAGGAGCGACACUCAGUGAUCUUCUUUCAUGGUGGGAGGGUCCAGACUUCUUAAAGGAGACCUCGACGAUGUGGCCAUCACAGACCAGCCCGCCGUCGCACCUCAGUUGUUCUGAUCCGGAGGUGAAGAAUUCACAGCAUGUUCUGAGCACUCAAGUACACCAAACAGUGUUGCCCGAUCCAGUUCGCUUUUCUUCAUGGCUCGAAUACACGAGAAUAGUGGCUUGGGUAAACAGGUUCAUGAACAACUUAAAGGCUGCUGUCAAGGGGGAAGAAAAAAUAUUGACUUCACUGAACGGCGGUGAGAUCGAGGCUGCGAUCAUAUCAAUUAUCAAAGAAUCACAAAGGAAGUGUUAUAUGAAAGACAAAGAUGCACUAAAUUCUAGCGGCUCAGUGGGGUCGGCGAGCCGGUUAUUGGAUUUAUCGCCUUUCUUGGACGACAAUGGACUCCUUCGAGUUGGCGGUCGCCUCUCGCACGCUCCUGUCCCUGACGCAGCUCGCCAUCCAAUAAUAUUGAGCAGUGGCGAUGAAGUGACUCGCCUGGUCGUACACGACGCUCAUAGACGGAUGUUGCACGCUGGAGUGGAUCAAACACUGAGCGCGCUUCGCAGUCGAUACUGGAUCCCAAGAGGCAGGGCAACUGUUCGACGCAUGCUUCACGCAUGCGCCUUCUGUCGCAAUCGGAGAGCGAAGCCCUGCCAGCCGAAGAUGGCAGAUUUGCCGCGCCAUCGAUUCCACGCGACGCGUCCCUUCAAAGCUGUGGGCUUGGAUUUCUUUGGCCCAUUACACGUUAAAAAAUUUAGGAAGAUUGAAAAGCGAUGGGUUCUUCUCAUAACCUGCCUCAGCACCAGAGCGAUUCACCUAGAACUGGUGGAGUCCAUGGACACUGAUAGUUUCUUGAUGGCUCUAAGGCGCUUCUUCGGUCGCAGAGGCAAGCCUUCCGUUGUCUUCUCAGAUAAUGGGUCAAAUAUUUCAGCUGGCGAGAAGGAGCUGAAGAGUCUCAUCGAACAAUGGAAUCAGUCACAGAUUAUGGAAAAAUUGAGCCAGGACCAAAUCGAAUGGCACUUCAAUCCUCCCACAGCGAGCCACAUGGGUGGAGUGUGGGAACGUCUAGUUGCUUCUGUGAAAAGAUCUCUGAGAGUGGUGCUGGGCAAUCAAGUUGUCUCAGGAGAAGUGCUAUCCACUGUGCUGGUUGAGGUUGAAAGUGUUCUCAACUGCAGGCCAAUAACAUACUGCAGCGGUGACGCAAGAGAUCCCGAGCCUCUAACACCCAGUCACUUCUUGCUUGGCUCCGCAGAGUCGGUUUUACCUCCCGGCAUGUUCAAUGACUCGGAAUUACUGAGUAAGAAGAGGUGGCGACACGCUCAAGUCCUUGCGAACCAUUUCUGGCAAAGGUGGAGGAAGGAAUAUCUGCCUACACUGAUUCGCCGCGAAAAGUGGAACAGCGAAUCUGAGAACCUUCAAGAAGGGGACGUUAUCCUCAUGGUGGAUGAUCAAGCCCCACGGGGGUACUGGCCUCUGGCGACUGUCACACGCACCGUACCAGGCGAGGACGGCCGAGUCCGUUCGGUGGAAAUCAGAACUGGAAGCGGUCUGACGUACCACCGACCAGUCAACAAAGUGUGCUUCCUUGAAAGACUUGAGUAAUUUCCUGGCUUCAACGAUGCAUGACUGCCAAGAAAGCUAGUGGUUCUUCCUAACACCCUUUCACUAACAUGUACACGCAAGCGCUGAGAUAGGUAUGCUCACGUACCCAUUUCUCUGCAUAUACUUCCCAUAUAGCCUGUGCAGCCCACCAACUGAUCGAUCACCCAACUGCCCGCCCGGAGCACGCAUGGACCUGCAUGGGCGCGGCGACUGCGACGCAGCCAGCCGGCAGCUGGGACGGAGAGGCACGGCGCCGGCACCACGAGGGCUGCUCACGGGAGGACCUAGCAAAAUUGAGCCGGUGGAGGAGCUGACUGAAUGCCGCCGCUGAUAUCAGCCGGCGAUGACUGCUACGGACUGUUAUGGACAGUUAUCACUGGAUGUGGCCCCUCAUCGCCACCGAAGUCCGACUGGGCUGCUGCCGCUCACUUAGGGAGGGGUUCCCUCUGUUCCCGUUCGGCUGUUAUCGACUGCAGCAGUCGGAUGCCGGACAUGCUUGGACAUGCCGGACAUGAACAUAGAACACUGGUGGAUAAGCACUACAGAGUGACAUGUGUUAACGAUUGGACAAUGCAUGGUUUAAGUGGCAUAUCGCGUUCCUGCGCAUACGGAACUCUGGUGGGGGAGGGUGUCGUAACUACGAGUGUUUUGACGCGGAGGCAUGCUUGCUAACGCGCGAGAAUAGCUUUGAAAUUUUACUGACAACGUUUUUAUAUGUUCAUGAUAAAAAUCAGCACGGCUUGGAAAGAAUGUAGGCAAAUGUUUCAGUUUAUACUUUAUACUGCAUUUACAAUGAUGUAAUUUAAGUUGAGAGUGGCGAGAAAUUGAAGAUGUAAUUUAAGUUGAGAGUGGCGAGAAAAUGAAUGGAAUAAGUUGUAUAGCCGAAACGAUCGAUCGAUGUCACCGAACCGAAACGUCACCGAUAUGAACCGAGGUCAACGUUUGAAACCGCUAAAUACAUCGUGGAUCAGGGCU